GCCAGGCGUGGUGGUGCGCGCCUGUAAUCCCAGCUACUGAGGAGGCUGAGGCAGGAGAAUCGCUUGAACCCAGGAGGCGGAGGUUGCAAUGAGCUGAGAUGGUGCCAUUGCACUCCAACCUGGGCAACAGAGCGAGACUCCGUCUCAA
rnacentral:SRP_RNA from 1 species